rnacentral:tRNA from 1 species
GGGCGUGUAGCUCAGUCGGUUAGAGCGCUACCCUUAUAAGGUAGAUGUCGAUGGUUCGAGUCCAUCCACGCCCA